rnacentral:miRNA from 1 species
UGCCUACUUCCUCAGCAAAAUUGG